CACGUAGGGGGCGAGCGUUGUCCGGAUUUAUUGGGCGUAAAGAGCUCGUAGGCGGCUCGGUAAGUCAGGUGUGAAAACUCUAGGCUCAACCUAGAGACGCCACCUGAUACUGCUGUGGCUAGAGUCCGGUAGGGGAGCAUGGAAUUCCUGGUGUAGCGGUGAAAUGCGCAGAUAUCAGGAGGAACACCGGUGGCGAAGGCGGAUCUCUGGGCCUUACCUGACGCUGAGGCGCGAAAGCUAGGGGAGCAAACAGG
rnacentral:rRNA from 1 species